CAAUAGCGUAUAUUAAAGUUGUUGCAGUUAAAAAGCUCGUAGUUGGAUUUCUGGCAGGAGUGACCGGCCGCACACACUGUGUGCGAGUUGCGUCAUUCUGGCCAUCCUUGGUGAGAUCCUGUUUGGCAUUAAGUUGUCGGGCAGGGGAUAACCAUCGUUUACUGUGAAAAAUUAGAGUGUUCAAAGCAGGCCUACGCUUGAAUACAUUAGCAUGGAAUAAUGGAAUAGGACUUUGGUGCUAUUUUGUUGGUUUAUGGGACCGAAGUAAUGAUUAACAGGGACAGUUGGGGGCGAUUAGUACUUAACUGUCAGAGGUGAAAUUCUCCGAUUUGUUAAAGACUAACUUAUGCGAAAGCAUUUGUCCAAGGAUGUUUUCUAUUAAUCAAGAACGAAAGUUAGGGGAGUCAAAGACGAUCAGAUACCAU
rnacentral:rRNA from 1 species